rnacentral:rRNA from 1 species
AUGUGGCUUAUUUUGACUCAACGCGGGAAAUCUUACCGGGUCCGGACACACUGAGGAUUGACAGGCAAUAUUAAUACUUUUGCUUCGGCACUUGGUAUUAUGUUAAAUAUGCUAGUCCUUUCAUGAUUAUGUGAUAGGUGGUGCAUGGCCGUUCUUAGUUCGUGGAGUGAUCUGUCUGCUUAAUUGCGUUUCACUAAGGGCCUAUAAAUUUACGUAUGUUGCAUCGCACUUUGACCCCUUUCUUAAUUGAAAGCGCGUGUCUUAGUUUCGCUUUGCUCAUACAAUUAGGUCCUGAAAGCAACGAACGUGACCGCAACCUCUUGUUGCCUUUAUACCAAACGUGUUUGUAUAAUUUUUAUUACGCAUUCACGAAAAAAGGCUUUUUAAACUAGAGGGACCGCUGUUACUUUCUUAAACCAGAGGAAGGUUGCGGCAAUAACAGGUCUGUGAUGCCCUUAGAUGUUCCGGGCUGCACACGUGCUACAAUGAUUAUUGCAGUGAGCAUCUCAUUUUUACACACCGCAUGCGCGAGUCCAUUUAUUCACCUUCGGGUGUUUUAAAUGUGUACUUCUGCGCGCGGUAAAGCCUGCUUCGAAAGUAAGUGGGUAAUCAAUUAGAAGUAAUGAUUUCCUUUUUUUUAGCACACAUAUAUACGGCGUCUAUGCCCGGGCUGCCUUGUUGUAGCUUUUGUGCGUAUAGAUGUUUUUUCCGUAUGUGCGAUUGUCAAUUCAUGGUGGGGACAGACCAUUGUUAAUUGUUGGUCUCGGUCUUAACUAGGAAUGCCUUGUACGGGUCUUUGGUUCAACAAACCACCCGGAAUACGUCCCUGCCCUUUGUACACACCGCCCGUCGCUCUUACCGAUGGACUUCUCUGUGAGUUUGAGGGACUGGGAACGCAGGAAUUUAUUUCUGCACACCUUAUGGAAAACUAAAACG